AGCAGCCGCGGUAAUUCCAGCUCCAAUAGCGUAUAUUAAAGUUGUUGCAGUUAAAAAGCUCGUAGUUGAACUUCGGGGUUUACUCAUUGGUCAGGCUUAAUUGUCUGUACUGGUGAGAUGAAUCUCUACCUUCUGAGGAACUUUCAUGCCAUUUAUUUGGUGUGAUUGGAAAUCAGGACUGUUACUUUGAAAAAAUUAGAGUGUUUAAAGCAGGCUAACGUCUGAAUACAUUAGCAUGGAAUAAUGAAAUAGGACGGAUUGAUUCUAUUUCGUUGGUUUCUAGGGUCACCGUAAUGAUUAAUAGGGAUAGUUGGGGGCAUUAGUAUUCAAUUGUCAGAGGUGAAAUUCUUGGAUUUAUUGAAGACUAACUACUGCGAAAGCAUUUGCCAAGGAUGUUUUCAUUAAUCAAGAACGAAAGUUAGGGGAUCGAAGACGAUCAGAUACCGUCGUAGUCUUAACCAUAAACUAUGCCGACUAGGGAUCGGAUGAAGUUAAUUAAUAAUGACGCGUUCGGCACCUU
rnacentral:misc_RNA from 1 species